rnacentral:rRNA from 1 species
ACGCUGAAGGCCCAGCUUGCUGGGUUGGAUGAGUGGCGAACGGGUGAGUAACACGUGAGUAACCUGCCCCCUUCUUUGGGAUAACGGUCGGAAACGGCUGCUAAUACCGGGUAUUCACUGUCCUUCGCAUGGGGGGUGGUGGAAAGGUUUUUUCUGGUGGGGGAUGGGCUCGCGGCCUAUCAGCUUGUUGGUGGGGUGAUGGCUUACCAAGGCUUUGACGGGUAACCGGCCUGAGAGGGCGACCGGUCACAUUGGGACUGAGAUACGGCCCAGACUCCUACGGGAGGCAGCAGUGGGGAAUAUUGCACAAUGGGCGAAAGCCUGAUGCAGCGACGCCGCGUGAGGGAUGACGGCCUUCGGGUUGUAAACCUCUUUCGCUCAUGGUCAAGCCGCAACAGUGGUUGUGGUGAGGGUAGUGGGUAAAGAAGCACCGGCUAACUACGUGCCAGCAGCCGCGGUAAUACGUAGGGUGCGAGCGUUGUCCGGAAUUAUUGGGCGUAAAGGGCUUGUAGGCGGUUUGUCGCGUCUGCCGUGAAAUCCUCUGGCUUAACUGGGGGGCGUGCGGUGGGUACGGGCA